CCUACGGGAGGCAGCAGUGGGGAAUAUUGGACAAUGGGCGAAAGCCUGAUCCAGCAAUGCCGCGUGAGUGAUGAAGGCCUUAGGGUUGUAAAGCUCUUUUUACCAGGGAUGAUAAUGACAGUACCUGGAGAAUAAGCUCCGGCUAACUCCGUGCCAGCAGCCGCGGUAAUACGGAGGGAGCUAGCGUUGUUCGGAAUUACUGGGCGUAAAGCGUACGUAGGCGGUUAUUCAAGUCAGAGGUGAAAGCCCGGGGCUCAACCCCGGAACGGCCUUUGAAACUAGAUAGCUAGAAUCUUGGAGAGGUUAGUGGAAUUCCGAGUGUAGAGGUGAAAUUCGUAGAUAUUCGGAAGAACACCAGUGGCGAAGGCGACUAACUGGACAAGUAUUGACGCUGAGGUACGAAAGCGUGGGGAGCAAACAGGAUUAGAUACCCUGGUAGUCCACGCCGUAAACGAUGAUAACUAGCUGUUCGGGCACUUGGUGCUUGAGUGGCGCAGCUAACGCAUUAAGUUAUCCGCCUGGGGAGUACGGUCGCAAGAUUAAAACUCAAAGGAAUUGACGG
rnacentral:rRNA from 1 species